GCGUCUGCGCGCGCGCGCGCGCUCCACCGGCGGUGACCGGCGCGUGGGAGCCACUCUUACAGUGACCACCGGCAAGGACAGCGCAGGUGAUGCACCUGUGGCUGCCCGGGCAUGCGCACUGAAUGCCUCACCUUUCCCAUCGCGGGUCUGGAAAGAUCAGAAGGGCCAGCUAUUGUCUGAGGAUGUCUUUCCUUAUAUCUUUGCUACUGCUUUUUCCAUGCUCAAAUGUUUGUGGAUUACCAAACUGACCCAGUGCAAGACAGUGUAGAAGAAAAGUUAUAAAAUAUGGGCACCUGCCCUCCGGAGGCUUGGCAGCCUGGCCUCCCUUCACAUUUCCUUUGGCAUUACCUCCUUCCAGAACACAGGAAACAGCCCUUCCCUGAGUGGAGAGAGGAGCCGCCGCUGAGGCACGGUACAAGGGGAGGGUCC